CCUGGCGGAGCAGUGGUUGGGGCAGGUGGAGAGGAGGUGGCAGAACAGAUAGCUGAGCCACACAGAGUCCCCACAAGGGAAAUAUGGAGGCAGGUGACUAGGAAAUGAGGAAGCUACUAACAGGGAAGAAAUGAUAUGAAACAGCCCUACUGCAAAUUCUCAGAGCCUGGCUUUGCUGAUGAAGUUAAAGAAGGUAGAAGAAGCCCAUGAGGAUACAUUGAAGGAGACAACAUUAAGAUAAAGACAUUCACACCAAAAGUCAGGUGACUUGCUUUGGAAAACACAGCACAUCGGUGUUUUCUCCAU
rnacentral:lncRNA from 1 species